GAAGACAUUCCACAGGAAGCUCUGGUCCGGCAGCGCCGCGCCCGCAGCUGGCCCCGGGCCGGAGCCCGGGCCGGGGCGAUAGGAGUAGGCGGCCAUGGACCCAGGCGCCGGUGGCAGGGCGGCUCGACCCGGGCGGCUCCGCUUCCGCCUCAGCCGGGGGCGGGGCCUGGCGCCCACGCCGCGCACGACACUUCCGGGAGCGCCGGAAGUGCGAGUCCUCGGGUCACGGGGCCCGGCGCGGCCAAUAACUCGCGACCCGGUUGCCAGGCAACGCCGGGCGUCCGCCCCGCCGGCUGGGGCCGUGCCUCCUGCGGGGCCACCGCGCCCAGCCCGCCUUUGCCCUCGCGCAGCGCCGCGAAGCCGCGGGGAACGGAAGGCCGGUUCCGGGCGGACCGGCUUCCAGAGUGCGCCCGGACCGGGGUGGGAAGCGAUGCCGGAAGGCCUCAGUGGGUGGAUGACGCCACGUUGUGUGGGAGGAAAAGUGUGGACGCGAACCCGGAGGACGCCCCGUUCCACACGCCCGCCCCCGCCGCCCUUGGCGAAGGCGGCGCCGCCGCGCUGGACUGGCGACGGCAGGUAGCUGGGACGCGGCGGAGCGAGCCUCGCGUCCAGAGCGAGACCCCGGCCUGCCUGGGCUCCGUCCUGACGCGGCGCCGGCCCGCCUCCCCUGCGGGACGGCCUCGUCGUCCCGGACUCCGCUGCCGACCCUGCUCCGCGCCGGCCGGCGCCCGGGAGGGUGGCAGCGGCUGCCGGCGCGCUCGCCGCUCCGCUUUGGCCUGUCGCUCGUCCGGGCGGCCGUCGGGACGCUUCGUCGGGGCUUCGGUCAGCCCACCUGCGCCUCAGCUCUCGCCGCAGAUCCCGACCUGGGCGGCCGUGCGGGCUUCGCGUCGCUCAGGGGUGCAGGCGGUUCUGAGUUCUGGUCACCAAGCAUUCGCAUGUGUCCAACGACGCUUUCCAGAAUGUUCCACGGCUGUUUGAUUCAUUGCUUCUGAGAUCCUUAUCCUCAGGCUCCAUUUCUGAUCUCUAGAUCUGCAGAGACGGACGACUGAGGUCUUGCGCCGAGUCUGUUUUCCAGCAGAGCCUCUGGCCCUGCAGCGGGUCCCUGGCUCCGCCAGCCUGGAUGCACAGCCAGUCUCCGUCCUCCCAGGCGCAGAGGAGUCUGUUCUUCAUUCCGGGCAGUUCCUUCAUCGAGAGAAAAGCAGAUGCUGACGAGGGGCGAGGCACGUUACCCAGCGCACACCGACCCUCAGAAGUCCACAGCUGGGAAGUUACGGACUUGCCCAGUCAAACAAGCAAAAGAGGAGGUUCCAGGCCAGGUUCUCUGCUUCCCCAGCAUCUGUCGGCAGCAGCAAGGCAAGGCUGACUGAGAAGGGACGUCAGCCUCCAGGAGACGGAGGUCUGAAGAGGUGCUCGCAUGUGAAUGCACAAGUGGACGAGCUCAGAGGACAGGGGCCCUGACAUUCACAAAGGACCUGAGCUACAUCAGCCACCUGAGCUGCUCCAAGGAGGUCUGAAGAGGUGCUCCCAUGUGAAGGCACAAGUGGACGAGCUCAGAGGACAGGGGCCUGACGCAUUCACAAAGGACCUGAGCUACGUCAGCCACCUGAGCUGCUCCAAGGAGGUCUGAAGAGGUGCUCCCAUGUGAAGGCACAAGUGGACGAGCUCAGAGGACAGGGGCCUGACGCAUUCACAAAGGACCUGAGCUACGUCAGCCACCUGAGCUGCUCCAAGGAGGUCUGAAGAGGUGCUCCCAUGUGAAGGCACAAGUGGACGAGCUCAGAGGACAGGGGCCCUGACGCAUUCACAAAGGACCUGAGCUAUGUCAGCCACCUGAGCUGCUCCAAGGAGGUCUGAAGAGGUGCUCCCAUGUGAAGGCACAAGUGGACGAGCUCAGAGGACAGGGGCCCUGACGCAUUCACAAAGGACCUGAGCUAUGUCAGCCACCUGAGCUGCUCCAAGGAGGUCUGAAGAGGUGCUCCCAUGUGAAUGCACAAGUGGACGAGCUCAGACGACAGGGGCCCUGACGCAUUCACAAAGGACCUGAGCUAUGUCAGCCACCUGAGCUGCUCCAAGGAGGUCUGAAGAGGUGCUCCCAUGUGAAGGCACAAGUGGACGAGCUCAGAGGACAGGGGCCCUGACAUUCACAAAGGACCUGAGCUAUGUCAGCCACCUGAGCUGCUCCAAGGAGGUCUGAAGAGGUGCUCCCAUGUGAAGGCACAAGUGGACGAGCUCAGAGGACAGGGGCCCUGACGCAUUCACAAAGGACCUGAGCUACAUCAGCCACCUGAGCUGCUCCAAGGAGGUCUGAAGAGGUGCUCCCAUGUGAAGGCACAAGUGGAUGAGCUCAGACGACAGGGACCCUGACGCAUUCACAAAGGACCUGUGCUACGUCAGCCACCUGAGCUGCUCCAAGGAGGUCUGAAGAGGUGCUCACAUGUGAAGGCACAAGUGGACGAGCUCAGAGGACGGGCCCUGACAUUCACAAAGGACCUGUGCUACGUCAGCCACCUGAGCUGCUCCAAGACACCGCUGCCUUUUACAAGUUCUCCCCACAGUCCCUGUGACUUGGAGGUGGCUGUUGCCAUGGUGGUGGACACUGCCCAAGCCCUCUGCAGCCGUAAAAGGCAGCCGCCUCACCAGGAUUUCUGUGAAUCCAAUUCAAGGAGACAGACAGCAUACAUCUCAGUCUAAUUUUCAGUCGUAGCCAUUGUCUACAAAGGCAAGGAGACUGGAACAAUGCAAAACAUUAUUCAGGACCACUUCUAGCCUGGUCUUGGCAUGGACCCAACCGACUCCUCCCUUCACCUUUAAGCUGUGUCACUGACCCAGUAAACUCACAAGUUUUAUUGUCUUCUACGUCCACAAGCUGUGUUCCCAGCAGCAAUGUAUGGAUCAUUACAUCCCAGAGCUUCACAGGAAAUGUUACGGCAUCAAACUUCUGGUUUUUUACCAAUCACACAGGUGAGAAAUUUUAUCUGUGUAUAGCCUUUUUAUAUAUCGGUCAGUAUUUUAAUGAACUUUAUUGAAGUAUUACUAGCAAGAAAUAAUGAACAUAUUCACCCCCACAAGUUUCCUCUGCCUGCCCCCAUCUUCAGGGAACCAUUGGUCUUUCCACCAUGACAGUAGUUUGCAUCCACUAGACUUCUGCUGGUGGAAGCAGUGUGCACUCCCCGGGCUGCUGCUCCCAGGACGAUGACAGGCUCUUCCACACUGCUACAGGCACCAACAGCUCACUGCUCAACUUGGAGCUGGACAGGGCACAACACAAUGGCCCCCUGUCGGAGGUGAGCUGUUGUUUUCCUCCAGCUGCAUUAUGUAACCAACUCAAAAUUCCUAGGGCAUUUUAAGUGGCUAGAUUUCCAGUAACUUUCUGCUUUUAUGUUUUCUGGUCAAGAACCUAAACAAUGACUUCACACCACAUCCAAACUUUUCUACUGAACUGUCCACCCUAUUACUCAAUUUUUACUUUCUAUUACACCCUAACGUUCUCCAAAGCCUAGCCUAGUGACUGGCCCAAAGAAUAAAUAAGGAACACAACACGUGGCUGAUGGGCACUAGAACUGGGAAGAAGACACACUGCAUAUCUAACGUGACCCGUGACCCCACAUCCACUGCCCUACGUGUACACCAUGACUUCACAGCCAAGCUGAGCCCAGUGCUGCCUUGCUUGCCUUUUGAAAUGCUUCUUACCAAAAAGACACCUGAGAAACAGAUUCAAAUUACUUUUUAGUAAGAAUUUCAUGAAGAAUGGAUUUGUUAUUUAAAAUGAGUUGGACCUUUGAAAAGAACAGACUAAAAAGGAAAUCCAUUUACUCCAUCAGGUUCAUUCAGGGUUUAGAUGUUCCAGCUCUUCAGGAAGCAGUUCACCUACUGAACCACUGGUGAAGAACAAGGAGGAAAGGUUGGUUUUCUUCCUUUGCUGUCAGGAAUGAAAAUUAUUCUUAAAAAUACACAACAGAAUUCCUGGAUCUUGAUGUGAUAGAAUAGUAAGAUAAUUACAUUUGAUAUUUGAGGUCAACAGAUAUGCCUAAAGCCAAACAGUACAGGUUUUAAGUGGGUUUAGAAAUAAGAAGCGUUGCUCAUUUGUGUUGUGAUUGUGCCCAGUUUCAUCUCUUCCCAAGGAUGAUAAAGCAGGGGACAAAGGCAGGCAGAGCUGUCCCCCACGCUGCGUCCUGGCAUGCUGCUGGCAUGGGCCUGACGUCUGUGAAGCACACUGCUUGUUCACCAGCACGGAAUCUGCUGAGACAGAUGCGACCGGAGCAGCUGCACGAACUGUGACGAUGGCCACAGAAGCCACUUGCACGACACUGGGUUCUGUCAGUAGGAGCGAAUGGCAGGGGGCACGGUGGCGCAGUCAGCCUCGUUUAAGGUCUUGUCGAUGACCGGUCUGUACUCCAGAGUGACCUGGGAGAGAAGGUGGGCAGCUAGAGCACACAAUCCCAGACAGCCACACCCUGAAAGUGAGCCUUCACGUACCGCAGUGUGCCCCCGAGAAGUGUCUACACAGUCACAUAACACGUGGAAAGAGAAUUUCAAAACAGUGGGGAUCUCUGAUGGAUGUAAACGUCUUGUUUUUUUUUUUUUACAAUUUCUGUACUUUCUAAAAUGAGUAUUUCUUUUAUAAUUAAGAAAAAAAAAGCCCACAUUAUUAAAAACAGGCUUGUACUGAGA